UUUUUUUCUUUUUAGGACCAUACCUGAAGCAUAUGGAAGUUCCCAGGCUAGGGGUCAAACUGGAGCUGCAGCUGCUGGCCUACACCACAGCCACAGCCACGUGGAUCUGAUCUGAGUCUGCGACCUAUGCCACAGCUCAUGGCAAUGACAGAUCCUUAACCCACUGAGCGAGGCCAAGGAUCAAACCCUCAUCCUCAAGGAUACUAGUUGGGUUCUUAACCCACUGAGCCACAAUGGGAACUCCACUGGCCACUGCCUCUUUCAGUCUGUGGACUCUUCUGGAGCAUACCUGCCCCUCUGCAGACACGAUGCUGAUCUGCACACACCUUGUCCUUAGUCCCCCAUUCUUUUUAUGCCUGAUGCUGUUCCAGGUCUGAUUCCCUUUUUGUCUGUCACAGGCCUUAACAGAAAUCCUGCCAUGGUGCCUUGCUCCCAGCAGGGGUUCAGCAAAUGGGGAGCAGUGAACAGAAGGAAUACAAUGUGGUGGUGGAAUUGUAUUCACAAACAGAAAACUAUCUUCAGCAUACACUGUAUUCACAAGGAGUAACAAGUGAUGGCUGCUAGGCAGCAGGGAGGAUGCUGAGAAGAGUGAGAUGCCAUUGAGAUGCAGGCUCUGUCUCUCUCUCCUGACUCUGGCCGCCAGCUGAGCUGUGCAGCUCUCAGCUCUUUCCCAGCCUGCAGGGCCUCCUUACCAGUGGUUUCAGGGGUGACUACUCAAAUUGGAUGCCUGCUGAGAGCCAAUAGAACAAGCCCCAAGUGAAGCUGCCAAUGUGAGCAGAGAUGGACUAAAAGCAAGCUGAGAUAUGCAGCCAAAAGAGAUGGAGCCCAGGCUCCGGGCUCAAAGCAGGUGGGAGGUGAGCCUGGAAGAACUCGGGACUGCUCAGCAGACAGACCUCUGCUGCUACGGAUGGAGUUGUGCCAAUUCCCCUCCAACUCAUACGUUAGAGUCCCAACCCCCUGGAUGGCAGAAUGUGGUCUUAUCUGGAGACGGAGUCUUUACAGAGGUAAUCAAGUUCAAGGGGUGUCGUUAGGGUGGUGCUAGUCCAAUGUGAUGGAUGUCCCUAUAAAAAGGGGAAAGUGGGACAAAGAAACCCAGAGGAGAGAUGACGGGAGUAGACAGGGAGGAGACGGCCACCUACGAGCCCAAGAGAGAGGCCCCGAUCCUUCCCUCACAGUCCCUGGAAAGAGCCAGCCCUGAGGACACCUUGAUCUCAGAGUCUGGCUUCACCAUUAAUGGAGCUACAGACUGUAGGAAUGCCUGAACCAGCACCCCAGUGUCCCACGUGACAUCAACCAGGGGACACUUAAAAUAAAGGAAGUGACUCAAUGACAUCAUGCCUAGAGGAUUCCCUGGGUUUACCUACUGCCCAGAAGCAGUUGUCUUGACAGAUGAUAUGGGAUGGUCUCCUCAAAGCCCAAUUACGGUACCAGCUGGAAGCAAAUAUCCUAUAAGGUCACAGGGUAGAGUGUCUGCUUUGAAGUUUAAGGAUUAAUCCAGUGAUCAACACAUGGUGCCAUCCCCCCUCCCCCACAGCCAGGAGCACAGGCCAGAGAAACAAGGGGCGGAGGCACAGGUGUUUACUAGUCUAGCUCUUAACACACUAGAAGUUAUGUUCCCCCAUGCCCAGGACCUUGGGUUUGGUAGAUCUGGAGGUCCAUGACCAAAGCAGAAAGCAAUCAUGGUUCUAAUCAACCAGAAGCUGAGCUACCGUUCCCCACCUCCACCUUCCAUGAGACUGGUUUGGCCUCUUUAGGCCAAUGAAACAGCCUGAGUCAGGCUCCUGCGGAAAAUGGGGGAAUCAAGUACUUUGAAGCCUGGAGGAUUUGCUGGGGGCAGCUCUUUGCUCUCCUCUGUCCCGCAUUCCUGGCCAAGAAAGAACUGCAGCAAAGUCACCAAGAUCUCAUAUCCUGCAAGAAUGAAGGUGGGGGGGGGGUCACCCCACCAGGAAAGAACCCAUCCAGCAGGGGGCUUGCACAUGGCAAGGAGACUAAAGAAGGGGUGAUGGGAAAAGACGUCUCAUCGAGUCAGAGCAGCUACCAAGCUGGGAAGUGUGGCCGCUGGGUAAUGAACCCAGCGGCUGAGCACUGCCCCGCAUCUGUGUCCUUAAAUGAAGGACAUGGGCUUGGCUAACAAUUUAGAUUUCACAUGGAAAUGCGGGCAAGUUAACACCACUUUGCAAUGAGAGUAGCUGGUGGGACUUCAACACGUCAUCUUCAGGGGGACAUGAGCGCUUCAUCCAAAGGACAGGAAUGGAUGCGAGGGCAAAGGGGUUGCCUGAUCCAGAUGCUUCCAUCUGCUUUCCUGGGUCUGUCCCUACCCUUCUCCACCCUGGUCCCUGCUCCAGGACUCUGGACUGAAAACACUCUACAAGAGGUCUUCCAGCUGGGUUCAGCCAGUGAGAGCUUCCGCAGGAGAAGGAGGGAGGGAGGAAAACUAAUUAGGAUGGGAGUUCCCACUGUGGUGCAGUGGGUUAAGAAUCCGACUGCAGUGGCUCAGGUCACUAUGGAGGUACGGGUUCAAUCCCUGGCCUGGUGAGUGGCCUAAAGAAUCUGAUGUUGCCACGUCUGUGGCUUGGAUUCAGUCCCUACCCCAGGAACUUCCAUAUGCCAAGGGAGCAGCCAUGGAGAAAAAAAGAAUCAGGGUGUUUGUUCUCUGGUUCCUCCCCUGAGGUCAUCUCGGGCUCAGACUGUCACUUCCUCUCAAGCCACUCUCCCCUUCUGGGUUUCAGUGACCUCUCCCUUCCCUUUUGCUUCCCUUCCUGCACUUCAGGUGCCAUGGUUCCCCAAUACCUGCCAUACCUUUGUAAUGAGCUCUUUUAGAAAUCAAACUUCCUCAAUUUAUCCUAACAGAACAAGUCAUCUGUUACCCCUGGGGACUCUAACCAACACACAAACUUAAAUACCGCGCCCAGGAUCAUGGGUCUGGAAGAUGGUAGGGAGUUGCAGUGACUUAGAACCAGACUCCAAUACAGUCCUGAAGGAAGUGAGCUUGGAUCCCAUCCCAGCCCCUCCUCCCUCCAGAACUGAGAGGUAAUACAUGCUGAGUGUGUGGCAACAUGUUCUGGCAACAAAAGAACACAUAAGCUAACACGAAUCUCUCUCUCAUGCACCCUUUUUUAGAAAACUGCCCAGGAGUUCCCGUCGUGGCGCAGUGGUUAACGAAUCCGACUAGGAACCAUGAGGUUGCGGGUUCGGUCCCUGCACUUGCUCAGUGGGUUAACGAUCCGGCGUUGCUGUGAGCUGUGGUGUAGGUUGCAGACGCGGCUCGGAUCCAGCGUUGCUGUGGCUCUGGCGUAGGCCGGAGACUGCAGCUCCGAUUGGACCCCUAGCCUGGGAACCUCCAUAUGCCGAGGGAGCGGCCCAAGAAAUAGCAAAAAGACAAAAAAAAAAAAAAAAAAGAAAAAGAAAACUGCCCAAGGAUGUGCUCCAGCAAAAAGAGGGAAUAAACAAAGAAAGGAGAAUGCAGGGGUUGGAAAUAGUUUUCUACCAAGGACAGUGGGGAGGGAAGGACCCUGGGACAGCUGGUGGCACACCUGGAGAGGAAGGCAAGGUGGAGCAGCGGAUGGGAGCCUCCAGGAGAGCAACAGGCAGGGGAAGCCGAGCCAGCUGCCAGCCAGGAAACCAUAAGCCGUGAGUCCUGGGCAGCCAGAAACACAGGACCCACCCAAAGCCAGGGAGUGUCUGGAGAGGAGCCCCUGAGAGUGGAAUAAAAUGGAAUGGAACAAGGCCCCAGAAUACCAAGCUGGAAGGAAUACCCCAGGGAAGACAGAGGCUACCUGCCUAUGACAUCUGGCGACCUGGGUGCCUCUGCUGUAAAUCUCAGAGGAAGAAGUGACACUCGGCAGAGGCCCUCCUAGAGGAGUGUGUACAUAAAUGGUUCCAAAUCCUCCUUUUGAAUUGGGAUAAUGAAACAUCUGUGGGGAGAGAGAGAAAGGGAGGAAGAGAUGGUGGGUGGCUUUCUCAAGCUGAAGUAACAAGAAUUAGAUGUGUGAAUGUGUUAUUUAGAGUUACACAGUUAAACAAGGUGAGGGAAAUAAGCAACUCGACUCUUGGGUGGGGAAGGCGGGGGAGGCUGUGGGCUGAAUCCUCCUCUCUCAGCAGGAAGCCCACAGAGGGUGUUGGGAGUUGAUAAAUCUAGAGAGCGCUGGGUGAGUGCUGUGUUUAGAGACCCAGAGGAAACCGCCAGAAGACUGAAGCCCAGAAUUGAAAGCAGUUCUGUUUAAGGAACUCAACUGGGGUGAGAAGGGGCAGAACAAAGGGCUGUCCCUUUUCACUGCAUGGCCUCUGACGAUUUGGUUUCCUAAUCCUGGGCUUGAAGCCCUUUUCUAUACAUCAAAGGAGACAGGGGUGGGGGGCCAAGGGAGGGAUGGAGGGAGGGAAGGUAGACCAACUUGGGUCCCCAGCCCGCUGUCAAUCACUUACCAAGUCAGGAGACAGAGACACGCAUGGGAGUUGGGGUGGGGGUCAGCCCCCUCUCCCUAAACACAGAAGCAGAGAGUGGGAGCCAGUGCGGUUCCCAAGGGAAACUUGAGAUGCUGUUUCUAAAGAAUGGAGGAGGGUGCCUGGCCAGGAAAAAGCACCCUGUCUGCCCUGCCCGGGGUGUCACAGGACGUCGAGGCAGGACUCACCUCCACCCACUGGGGCCCAGCCAGCUUCCAGGCACCACCAGCCACACACCAACUACAGGACAUGCUUGGUCUCAGACACCAACACACACACACACACUGGAACAGCCCAGCCCUACGUUUGACAAGCCGUGUGGGUGUGACACUUCAGCCAAAAGGACGGUGAGAACAAUGAACCAAUUUUGUCAUGAAUGUAACCUGAAUGUUUGUGGGCUGAGUGACCCAUGAGCUCACUUUUUCUUUAACGUGUAAAUAGAAUGGUUUAAGCCCUUUCACCCC
rnacentral:lncRNA from 1 species